rnacentral:rRNA from 1 species
ACCAAAGCAGAUCAUGUUAAACACCCCUAAAUAAAGGGCUAAACCAGAUGAAGCCUGCCCUAAUGUCUUUGGUUGGGGCGACCGCGGGGAAAAACAAAACCCCCACGUGGAAUGGGAACACCCCCUCCUACAACUAAGAGCUUCCGCUCUAGUAAACAGAAUUUCUGACCAAUAAGAUCCGGCAACGCCGAUCA